CCUGACUAAAAAUAAUAUCAACAAAUCCUUCUCGUGACUGUGACCGUAGGUGCUUUGGGAUCAUCAAAAACUGCAAUUAGUGAGGCGAAUUUCAAUUCUGCUAAUUUUCUAACAGGUGUAAGACGUCAAGAUGAAUCCACCGAACUUAGUCCUAAAGGUGAUUGUUUUCACACACUUUAUAUUAUCCAUGUGGGCAUCUCAGUCUCCAGUAUUUCUACCUACAUCCUAUAUUUAUCUCAACGCGUUUGUUUUAGCGUUUGGUUUUAUUGGUAUUUUUAACCACGAAUCAAGUGAUGCCAUUUUAUUGUUUAUCGUAGGAUUGUUGAUCAGU